UACGUAGGGUGCAAGCGUUGUCCGGAAUUAUUGGGCGUAAAGAGCUCGUAGGCGGCCUGUUGCGUCCGCUGUGAAAGCCCGGGGCUUAACCCCGGGUCUGCAGUGGAUACGGGCAGGCUAGAGGUAGGUAGGGGAGAAUGGAAUUCCCGGUGUAGCGGUGAAAUGCGCAGAUAUCAGGAGGAACACCGGUGGCGAAGGCGGGUCUCUGGGCAGUAACUGACGCUGAGGAGCGAAAGCGUGGGGAGCGAACAGG
rnacentral:rRNA from 1 species